GGGAUCAUAGCUCAGUUGGUUAGAGCAGGAUGCUCAUAACGUCUUGGUCAUAGGUUCGAGUCCUAUUGAUCCCA
rnacentral:tRNA from 1 species